UUUAAGGUGUUUCUUUCCAUCUCGUUACGCUCGAAUAUUUGGAAGAGUCCACUUGCAAAAACUCGACAUGCAAUGAGAGGAUUCAAAUUCUAGAAGACUUGUUCCAAUAAAUUCCUUUUGCGCUGUUUGAAAGCAAGUGUAAAUGACUUACGAUUGUUAGAUGAGAUCCAUCCGGCGUGGGCGUAAGAAGUUUUAACGCCGGCCACAUCCCAAAUCCAAACAAGGCAACAUUAACUGGAAAUCAUCUUCGUCGUCAGCGUCAAAAUCGCGAUAUAUAUUUUUUGCUGAUUGAUUUGGAUUUGCAUCAAGGCAAAUGCUGCCAGCCUGCCUGUUGCAGUAAAAAUUAGCCCCGAGGUUGCCACCACACAUGAAAAUUUCGUUGUUGCUUGGCUGAGAGAUUUCAUCGCAAAGAAUGUCGCAAUAAGUUUCAUCGACAGGAAUCAGUUCAUUAAUUGUUCUGUCGUCGAUGCACAUGCACUGAACACCUCUAAUCAAAAUAAAGUUCGUGUAGCACAUGAAGCAAGCGGAAAAUCCAAUUUCGUUGGAACCAGCCCCAUUAGUAACAACCGCUUGAAGAUCGAACGGCGAAUAACAACCCAGAGACCGAACGUUGGAUUGUUUCCAAACAUUAUUGCCUCCACGUGAAAGUAAAUUUACUGCUAGCAUGAAAGCACUUAGCAUAGAUCCCAACAUAGUUUAGUGGAGAAAAAUCAAUCAAUAAAUCGCAACAAACGCACUCGUAAAGUCGCACAACUCGCCAGCUUGACACAUGGUUUCUAACUAGUUCGCUAUUCAAGUCCACGGGAGAUAUCACAAUGUUCAUAAUCAAGUCGCCGGGGUAACUUUUCAUCCGAUAAGUGACAGGUAGCUCGUCACACAAACAAAACAAAGUACCACCACAGUUCAUCAUUAUCAAGCAAACAAACAAAAAUACCUGUUGGUGCUCUCU